rnacentral:rRNA from 1 species
UACGGGGGGAGCAAGCGUUGUUCGGAUUUACUGGGCGUAAAGGGCGCGUAGGCGGCGUGACAAGUCACUUGUGAAAUCUCCGGGCUUAACUCGGAGCGGCCAAGUGAUACUGUCGUGCUAGAGUGCGGAAGGGGCUACUGGAAUUCUCGGUGUAGCGGUGAAAUGCGUAGAUAUCGAGAGGAACACCUGCGGCGAAGGCGGGUAGCUGGGCCGACACUGACGCUGAGGAGCGAAAGCGUGGGUAGCAAACAGG